CUUCAUCCUGGCCCUUCUCUCUUGGGACGCUCACCAUGGAACCUAGCUGAGAGGAAGCCCAGGCAACGUGGUGAUGCCACACAUGGGUAUUCUGCUCAACAGCCCCAGCUAAGGUCCCAGCCAACAGCCAGCUUUGACUACCAGACAUGUGAAUGAAUGAACCUUCAGAUAACUCCAGCCCCACCUUUGAGUCUUUCAGCUGAGCCUCAGACACUAUGGAGCAGACUAACUGUCCUCAAAAUGCCGUGUGUGAAUUCCUGACCUACAGGAACCAUGAAAAUAGGUGACCUUGUGACUUGCUUUGACCAAUAGAAUGCAGCAGCUGUGAUGCAAUUCCAGGCCCAGGCCUUAAGAAGAUCUGGCAGCUUCUGCUUUUGCUCCCUGGGGGAAGCCAGCCCGCUGUGAGCAGUCCAACUAUCCUGAGAGAUCACCUGGAGAGGCCAAGCAGAGGAGAACUGAGGAACCCAGCCAACACCAAGGACUGAAGCCUAGAUAUAUGACCCCACUUGAAUUGUUCCAACCAGACCUCAGCUUUUUGAGCCAUUCCAGCUGAGGGCCCAGACAUCACAGAACAGAGAUGAGCUAUUCCCACCAUGCUCUGAUCAAGUUACUGACCCACAAAGCCAUGUUCCAAUGAAAUGCUGUUUUAAGC
rnacentral:lncRNA from 1 species